rnacentral:lncRNA from 1 species
GUUCUGAAGAGGAAUAAUCAUUUCUUUUGUCAACUACAUUCUAGUUUUAAUUGGAGAAUACCAAGUUUCUAUUAUAUUUAAUCUUAUUAGGUUUUAACAAAACCAUUAUUAAAUAAUUUAUUUCAUAUAUCACUCUAUUUUAGUAUACUUUAUCAAAUUUAAUCUUUUUUGUACAAAGUCAGAAGAAAUUUUGAUUCAGUUUGAGCAUUAAAUUUUUUCUUACAGCA